GACGAACGCUGGCGGCGUGCUUAACACAUGCAAGUCGAACGGAAAGGCCCUGCUUUUGCGGGGCGCUCGAGUGGCGAGCGGGUGAGAAACACGUGAGUAACCCGUCCCUGACUUUGGGAUAACUUCAGGAAACUGGGGCUAAUACCGGAUAGGAUCUCCUGCUGCAUGGUGGGGGUUGGAAAGUUUCGGCGGUUGGGGAUGGACUCGCGGCUUACCAGCUUGUUGGGGGGGUAGUGGCUUACCAAGGCUUGGACGGGUAGCCGGCCUGGGAGGGCGACCGGCCACAUUGGGACUGAGGGAGGCCCCAGACUCCAACGGGAGGCAUCGGUGGGAAGUAUUCCACAGUGGGCGGACGCCUGUUGAGGAACCGCGGCGUGCGGAAUGACGGCCUUCGGGUGGUAACCCGCUUUCGCCUGUGACAAGGCGUUAGUGACGGUAACGGGUAAAGAAGCACCGGCUAACUACGUG
rnacentral:rRNA from 1 species